UUAAGUUCGAAAAUCCGAAACAUCGUGUAACUAAUCGCGAAACAAAAUUUAAUUGUUAAAACCGAUUCAUCGCCAAACCAUACUCACACCUGAUCGACUCCACAAAUCAAACAAGAAAUAAAAAAGGAAGAGAGGAGGCAUCGAGAAGAAUUAGAGGCGAAAAACUAGGUGGUGAACCUUCGCGAUUCGACUCUAAUUCUUCUCGAUGCCUCCUCUCUUCCUUUUUUAUUUCUGCAGCAAUUAAUCGUUUGUACCAACGUUCGGCUCGCUUUUUGUUGAGGUGACUUUUAUCUUUUCUAUUCUGUUUUUGAUUUCGUCAUGGAAUUAUAAUUCGUUCUUGGCAACAAGUAAAGUCGUAAAUGUGUAAAUGAUUAUUUUAUUUGGUGACUGAGUUCACUGUAGACAAUCAGUGUGGCCUCGUAGGCCUCACCCAAGGAUGAGCAAUCUGCUAACGGUGGGAAGAGGAAAACGAAAACCUUAGAUGUUUUCUGUGACGAAAACACCGUAAUCACUGGUUGAUACAGCGAACAAUUGUAAACAAAAUAGAUCGAAAGCUGAUUGAGUUUAUUCCAAACUAUUCGUUAAAUGUUGAGCAAGAACGUUUAUCUCAAUUUUGUAAUUAUAUUCUCUGUAAACAAUCCGUGUG
rnacentral:misc_RNA from 1 species